CAGGGGGUAUUUUAUUUAAAAUGUUAAUUUUGGGGAUUAAUGAAAUGGCAUUGGUGCUUUUCCUCUGA
rnacentral:tRNA from 1 species